rnacentral:tRNA from 1 species
AACUUUAUAGUCAAUUAUGAUUUUAAAUUGCAAAUUUAAAGGUAAAUUUUAUUUUAAAGUUU